rnacentral:lncRNA from 1 species
GCGAGACGAGUUAUAAGACCUUUUCAACUGGAUUACACUGAAAGUUUUGCUGGAAUCAUGAGUUCUGCAUUCCUCUAUAUGCCUCCCAAUUAGACCUGGAAUCACUUUUUUUUUAAAAAAAAAGUGGGCAAAAAAAGAAAAACAGUUUGGAGAGUGAUAUAUGACGCUAGAUUUAGGCUCUGGUCCAGAAGGGCAUAAGUUCAAAACAGUAAUGGUACUCCUUUUGCAAUAUGGUCUUUAAUGGAUGUAUGAAUUACAACUAUUUAUGGGUUGAAUCGGAUAUCAUCAUGGUGCUAAUG